rnacentral:rRNA from 1 species
UAAUACGUAGGAGGCGAGCGUUGUCCGGAAUUACUGGGCGUAAAGCGCGCGUAGGCGGUCUUUUGCGUAGGCGGUGAAAGCCCCAGGCUCACCUUGGGGAGGUCCGUCUAAACGGGGAGACUAGAGGGCGGUAGGGGUUGGCGGAACGCCCGGAGUAGCGGUGAAAUGCGUUGAGAUCGGGCAGAACACCAGUGGCGAAGGCGGCCGACUGGGCCGUCCCUGACGCUGAGGCGCGAAAGCCAGGGGAGCGAACGGAAUUAGAUACUCCGGUAGUCCUGGCCCUAAACGAUGGCAACUAGGUGUGGGGGGUAUCGACCCCUUCCGUGCCGUAGCACACGCGAUAAGUUGCCCGCCUGGGGAGUACGGCCGCAAGGCUA